UGGCUCAGUUGGUAGAGCAUUGAACUUGCAAUGCCAAGGUUGUGGGUUCUAUUCCCAC
rfam:Salmo salar isolate Sally breed double haploid chromosome ssa25, whole genome shotgun sequence.